GGGCGGAUAGUUCAGUGGCAAAAUAUCUGUUUUGCAUACAGAAGGUCCCGUGUUCAAUCCACGGUUCGUCCA
rnacentral:tRNA from 2 species